UCAAAAUUAUAAUAUUUGUGGCCCCUUAAAACACAGAUGAGAAAACCUAAUCCGCGAAAGUUCAAUCGACUCAUCUUUCAUCUUCUUCCGACCUCUGUAACACACAAUCUUCUGCAAUCAAUCGUCUGUUUAAUCUGAUUUUAAUGAUUUUCUUUCAUCUUCAACUAUUUCACAUUCUCUAUAUAUUGUUUCUACUUUUCUUGCUCCAAACCAAAACCAAAGAACCUGCCCUAAGUAAGCUCAAGGCAUGGCGAUGAAACCAAACGGCAAGUCUCCUGUUUCCUCCGCUAAUGAUCUCGAAGUUAUGUUUUUCAAAGAUAUCUCACUAGGUUCCAUGAAACCCAGUGACGCUACCGUAUGAUCCAUUUCUAGGAGGCUCGAUACCCAGUGAAAAGGACCGUUAUUGGUCUUGAGAUGAUCCUUAUAGACGAUCAGGGAACUGUUAUUCAAUGAAUCAUUACAUCCAGACGUGUUAAAAAGUAUUUGCCUGACAUGAAACAAGGAUCAGUUUACAGACUCUUCAACUUCUACGGAUCCAAAACAAACCGGUGUAUCGGGUUGCUGAUCAUAUCGCAACCGUUUCUUUCUCAUAGAACUCUAUCAUAGAACUCUGACGAAGACCGGUUCCGGUUCCAUUUCGAAGCUAACUGUGACAUCAAAGGUGACCUCUAUGGUAAGGCCACUAAUAUUUCAUAUCAUCUCUGAGUAACAUCGUUUUCUGAUUGGAUGUAGUCUUUAUAUUUUGUUCCUGCAUUUUAAAUAAAGUGAUUAACUAAGUACAUAAAUCUUGAUUCUUUAUAAAGUAAAAUAAUUAGUUAAGGGUUCUAUAUUUUUGGUUUCUUUUUAUGCUAUUUGUUGUCUACGUAAAGUGUCUGUGUGUAUCAAUUUCGGUUGGUGAUAAAAUACUGGACUUUCUAUUUUAACCCAUAUAACUUACACUCUUCGUGACCAAUGUAAUAGAUGUUGUUGGCCACAUGAAGCUGGUCAAUGGACAUACUUUCAUUGAGGGUCCCAUCCUUGAUGAAGUUGAGAUAGCUACGACGCGGCAUCUUUUGGUUCUUGUGAAAUCACAUGGGUACGUGUGCUUUCUUUUUCAAGUCACCAUUUCUUGGUACUUCUCUAAACCCGUCAGAGCUUAUCUUUUGCAGCAGACCUUUGAUGAAACUCUACCUUUGGGACCAGGCUGCAGAGGUGGUCACUAAUCCUGAGACUGACUAUAGCAGAAAUGUUCUCCUACAUCAAGCAGGAAUCUGCAAAGGCUGCCUUUUUCGAGUGCACGGACACGAUUGAUGAUGUUGUGUGUGGCUCUGCUUGAUAUUAUAUUGCAUGCAGUGGGUGAAACACUAAGGUUACUAAAGGCCCUACCUCGCUGAUGUGUACAAAGCGAGGAAAGGUUAACGUAGCCGGUGUUGCAGAGUAUGAGCUCUAGCCUCAAUAUUCAAUUACGUUUUGCUCCUAUUGGCUUCUCAUUUUCCUUCAUAACAGGUAUUAAGAUCUUCGUUUGUGACAGUAGUGAGCAGACAGUUUUUGUCCUACUUGGUGAUGUCGGUCGUGAGUUAACUGGGAAGCAUGCAUCAGAAUUAGUUAAUAGCUACUUUGAGGCUACUGAAAACAAAGGCGUUGCCCAUGAAGUGCCUGUCCCACAAGCUUUGAUUGACACCAUUGAUCAAAAACACAAAUUCAGUGUGGAAGUUUCAGAGCACAACUUAACAGGGAACACUCGAGCUUUAACUGUCAGUCUGUCACAAAGAUCCUCUCUCCAAAAGCUCAGCCAGCUAUAACAACCACAGUUGGAAACCCCAUUGCUCCAACGUCCAAGGAAACCAUGAUAUCUUCAAAUGAUAUGUGUGAAUGUUCCAAGAACUUUGGAGAUUCUGCAGAUGAGGAGAUAAAAAAACGUCUGUCAGAGAUGAGCCAGAGAAAGCCAAACGCCCUAAGCUUGGGAAUUAGAGCUUCUACUCAACUUCGAAUUUUUCUUACGACCUAGAAAGUUAAAUUCUAUAAAGGAAGCUUUUAUGGCUAACAAUACCCUAUUUUGACACGCCAACUUCGAAUUUUUCUAAACAUGUCGAUAAAUUUUUGGCAUGUUAACUUAUCGCAAAUAAUAGUGUCUUUCCCUUACUACAGAAA